rnacentral:rRNA from 1 species
UACGUAGGGUGCGAGCGUUGUCCGGAUUUAUUGGGCGUAAAGAGCUCGUAGGCGGUCUGUCGCGUCGGCUGUGAAAACCUGAGGCUCAACCUCAGGCCUGCAGUCGAUACGGGCAGACUAGAGUUCGGUAGGGGAGACUGGAAUUCCUGGUGUAGCGGUGAAAUGCGCAGAUAUCAGGAGGAACACCGGUGGCGAAGGCGGGUCUCUGGGCCGAUACUGACGCUGAGGAGCGAAAGCGUGGGGAGCGAACAGG